rnacentral:lncRNA from 1 species
UACUGCGAUGGCUCUUGGUUGACCAAUCUCCUUCCACUAUUCCUGACAGCUAACCAAUCACAGUAGGCUUAACAUGCUCUGUUGGCUUUACAUUUACGGGGCUGCUUCAGGAAUGUAAACUAUUCAACACAGGCAGACAUGGACUUAACAGUUGAUAAACUGGAACAAAUGUUCCAGAGUGCGGAGGUGACCUUAGACUGCAUCUUCAGGCGCAUGAGAUGGGAGAUGCAGCAGGAGUCAGAGGAGGACGGCGCUUUCCCGCUGGACCCCCUGCUGCCCUUCGAGGAGUUAGAGUAUUUCCAGAAGCGUCUGACGGCGCUGCUCACGGAGACCCGAGAGAUCCGGGCGCAGAAGCAGCGGACGAUGGCGUCCAUCGAGGAGAAGCUGAGCAGGACCGCUCAACUGGCCAGAGAGCUCCAGAGCAAGGCGGCAGUGACCGGUGUCGCCGCCCUGCUGCCCACACCUGAGGAGGACGUGGGAGUUGCCCCAGCUACUGCCGGUCCUUCAUGCAGACCAGAGGCUGGACUUGCCCCCGCUCAGAACCAGAAGCAGACCUCUGCCCAGUCUAGGACCCGCCCUGCUGACACUGGAGCCCAGGCCAAAGGAGGAGGAGCGCCCCCUAGAGCACGGGGCAGAAGAGCAUCGAGCCCUCCCCGCCAAACUGCACGUAAGGCUCACACAGAUUGUGUGUGUGUGUGUGUGUGUGUGUGACACCUCUGACCUCCAUCAGUAACCUCCCUUCCUCUCUCCCCCUCAGGUGGUCCUCUGCGGGUGCGCAGGCCGCCCCUAUGAAUGUCUCUCAGCCCCCCCCUAUCCUUCAGCCCCCGCAGCAGCAUUCCCUCCAGCCUCCCUGCCCUACUCACACUGCCAUCUGGUGGCCAAAGUGGGGAAAAUCCCCUCCAGCAUUCCUGCCUUAUACACACUGCCUUCUGGUGGCCAAAGUGGGGAAAAUCCCCUCCAGCAUUCCUGCCUUUUACACUGCCAUCUGGUGGCCAAAGUGGGGAAAAUCCCCUCCAGCAUUCCUGCCUUAUACACACUGCCAUCUGGUGGCCAAAGUGAGUAAUGCGUGCUGGUGAGUGCAUCUCGCUAUGGUGCCCCUGUACGAGUGGACAAAAUGUCUGGGGUCUCAUUGCUGGAAUCACGGGACAAUUUGGGCUUCAUGUGUCAAACAACGGGCUUGAGUAAAGACCUGGGUUGGAGAACUUUGGGCAGGGAAAAUGGCUUAUUUUGUUAUAUAUUUUUUCAUAGUAAAUAAAAUUCUAAUAAAACUCUGUUCUGUUCGGUGC